GGGGACUAGAGGGCAUGGGGUGAUGGCAGUUACUGUGGUGUGGUUCUGAAUGGGUGGUAGCUAGCAUGGCUACAGGAAGAUCUCAUGAAUGUAGCCAUGGCCCCAGUGACCAGUGAGUGGAUGCAUGUGUGCCCAUCAUGGUUCUUCAGAAUAAACCAAGCAUCUAUGACUUCAAGGAAUUGCUCACAGUGAUUGUAGAGGCUUAGUGAGUCCAAAGCAUGUGGAGAGACCAGCAUGCUAAAAGCCAAGGGAAUCUACAGCUAAGGUCUGAAGCAAUCUGUUGAUAAAUCCUUUUUGCUGGGAAAAGGGGUGGGGAUCAAGUUUUUUUUUUCUACUCUAACUAUAUGAAAUCCACUCACACAUGGAGGGCCACCAGCUCUAAUCAAAGCUCAGUGAUUUAAUACAAAUCCCACCCUAUACCAUGUCAUACAACCAUUGGGAAUAAUUGUCAGCAGCAUAUCUGAAUGCCAUGACCCAGACAGGCUGACACAAAGUCAACCACACAACAUUCUUGCACAAGCAGGAACUGGGAGCAAGUGGCAGAGCUUCGCUGCUUCUCCAGUGCUUCUCCAUGGAGUAUUUUUCACCCAGUUUCUAAACCUCCAGUUACUCUGAGAGAGUGCAAUGUCUAAACAAGCAGGGGAAAGAAAAGAAAAAAGAAGAAUGACGACUUCUGCAACACAAGGAUGAAUUUGUUUGAGAAACAUUAACUGGCAGGCAUUCAUCUCCAUGGAUUCACAAGGAAGAACAAAGACCAAGACAAGAACAACCUCAAGUAACAUUACAGACUGGGUACUUUCUUUCACAUAUACUUACUAUACUCUACUGUGUCUGUCUUUCUCUCACAAAUAUGUCC
rnacentral:lncRNA from 1 species